AACAUACAAGAGAUGAAGGAGAAGAAAUAAGACCACACAUGGAGUUUCCUUCUUGAGAUCAUAUUGAUGAUCCAAGUAGCUCCCAUCCUUUGGAAUAAGCAAGCAAAUACGUGUAUACUCAAGCAAUCAAUCAAUCAAGCAAAGCUCUUAGGAAUCUUCCAAUGGCUCUUGUAUCUCUCACUUUGGAUGCACAUGACAAUGGUUCUUCAAUUUG
rnacentral:lncRNA from 1 species